CAAAUACUUAAAAGUCUGCUGGCCUGCUUUCCUCUCAGUCCUAUCAGUAGGAGUAAGGGCUGCAGGAUGUGGCCCUAUGUGGAAACAAAAGGAGUAUGAACAACUGGCUGCAGAAUUUGACCCUUAUUUAGGUCUCCUUGUUGCCCCAAAUCCCAAUGCUUUACUCUACAAGACAGCUCUUCAAGGAAGAUUUUCACUUAUCAGCAACUACGGGUGUUUUACAGAAAGUGGAAAAACUGAAUGGCUUGGGGUGUUAAAGAUGAGUAAUGAUAUGAACAGAGAAGUCUCACUUACAGAGGAAAAUCGGUGUGCUACUGUGACAGAAAUUAUUACAUAGCACCAAAAUAUCUUAAAGUUGAUGUCAUUCUGAAAUGAAAGACGUGUGCAUCCCAGAACAAUUUAUGUACCUCUAAAAUAGAACAAUUACUUGAAAGAAAAGACCUCUAAGCCAUAAUGGCUCAGAAAUGGUCUUUGAAGAGGCAUUUUUAAUUCUGUUGUUAUUCCAACCAAUGUCCUAUGAAGACAAGCUCUCCAGUAAAUAAGUGUGAUGUCUCUACUAUUCAACACAGGCAGAGAUCUUUGUUUCUGACUUUUUUGGACAGUUUCUUUGUUUCAACAGUGUGGUUAUAAAGACUCAGGGUUCCUGUGGUCUAAAAGCAGUAAAACAGGUUGGUAGACACAUGUCAGAGAAUUUAACAUCUUUGGGGCAAGAAUCUUGACAUCAUCUAAUAUUGUACAGUAGUGGGGAACAGAAGCUUUUGGACUGUAAUAAAGUGUCAUUACUGAAACCUGA